rnacentral:rRNA from 1 species
UACAGAGGGUGCGAGCGUUAAUCGGAAUUACUGGGCGUAAAGCGUGCGUAGACGGUAGCGUAAGUCAGAUGUGAAAGCCCCGGGCUCAACCUGGGAAUUGCAUUUGAGACUGCUCUGCUCGGGUGCGGAAGAGGGAAGCGGAAUUCCAGGUGUAGCGGUGAAAUGCGUAGAUAUCUGGAGGAACAUCAGUGGCGAAGGCGGCUUCCUGGUCCAACACUGACACUGAGGUGCGAAAGCGUGGGGAGCAAACAGG